rnacentral:rRNA from 1 species
GACGAACGCUGGCGGCGCGCCUAACACAUGCAAGUCGAGCGGAGUCAGUAAGAGGAAGUUUUCGGAUGGAAUCUUAUUGAUUUAGCGGCGGACGGGUGAGUAACGCGUGAGCGACCAACCUUGCACAGGGGGAUAACGGACCGAAAGGUUCACUAAUACCGCAUGAGACCACGGUGUUGCAUGACACAGUGGACAAAGGAGCAAUCCGGUGCAAGACGGGCUCGCGUCCGAUUAGGUAGUUGGAGGGGUAACGGCCCACCAAGCCUAUGAUCGGUAGCCGACCUGAGAGGGUGAUCGGCCACAUUGGAACUGAGAUACGGUCCAAACUCCUACGGGAGGCAGCAGUGGGGAAUAUUGGGCAAUGGGGGAAACCCUGACCCAGCAACGCCGCGUGAAGGUAGAAGGUUUUCGGAUUGUAAACUUCUGUCCUUGGUGAAGAGAAGAAGACGGUAGCCAAGGAGGAAGCCCCGGCUAACUACGUGCCAGCAGCCGCCGUAA